rnacentral:rRNA from 1 species
UACGUAGGGUGCAAGCGUUGUCCGGAAUUAUUGGGCGUAAAGAGCUCGUAGGCGGUUUGUCGCGUCGGAUGUGAAAAUCCAGGGCUCAACCCUGGACCUGCAUUCGAUACGGGCAGACUAGAGUCUGGUAGGGGGAUCUGGAAUUCCUGGUGUAGCGGUGGAAUGCGCAGAUAUCAGGAGGAACACCGGUGGCGAAGGCGGGAUCCUGGGCCAGUACUGACGCUGAGGAGCGAAAGCGUGGGGAGCAAACAGG